ensembl:lncRNA
AUGGCAGCAGCUGGGCCAUCUGCUGGCUCAGGCCCCCUGCAGCCCGUCAUGCCAACUGUAGAUCCAUUUGAAGACAUUAGUAUAAGGACUCAGAGGUUGGUUGAUUUGUUUGCAGUGGAUCCUGGCUGUGAUAAGGAAGUGUUAGCCCUCUCAGGCAGAUUUCUUGGAGACAAUAAAACUCCUGGGGAAACUACAGAAGAGACAUUGACUAGUAUUCUGGAUGUUACUGCCCUGGAUUGCAUUUACAGUGCUGAUAAAGGAGACCCACUGGAGAGUGAGAGACUAACCCAAAGAAAUUGGAUAAAUUCUUGUGGUCAGCCCCACCACCAUGGAAAACAUCUCUAACCCUUAUGUUGAAAUGAGGCAAGAGGUUAGGAGAUGUUAGCGUGGAAGUAGGGCCACAGGUGCCCCAUAUUAAAGUGGACUCCUUUAGGGGGCCAGCCCUGUGGCGUAGUGGUUAAGUUUGCUCACUCCACUUUAGCAGCCCAGGAUUCACAGAUUUGGAUCCUGGGUGCAGACCUAUACACCACUCAUCAGGCCAUGGUGUGGUGGCAUCCCACAUACAAACUAGAAGAAGACUGGCACAGAUGUUAGCCCAGGGACAAUUUUCCUCAAGCAAAAUUUUGGAGGAUUGGCCACAGAUGUUAGCUCAGGGCCCAUCUUCCUCACCCAAAACAAAAACAAGUGGACUGCUUUAAAAAGUUGCUGCUGCUGGAGACAAGCAUGAGUCAGCCAGAGGGUGCAAACCUAGUGGUCACAGAGGCUGGAAAGCAAUGUGGACUGUGCUGCUGAGUCAAUGGGUUCCGUGGUACAAGCAAAAGGAUCUCAUCACCCAAGACAGAAUACUGGGUGGGAUGAAAACAUUCAAAGCUCAUGGCUGAACCAAAGGUGCUGCCACACCGCUCAAAAGUGAAGAAAUACCAUCUCUUGCAGGAUUGCUCCUUCGUGGAUUCUCUUCGCCCCUCUAAGGAUGCCUGCCACAGCACAACUUGACAGGUGGUGCAUAGAUCUGCACCCGGGAUCCAAAUCUGCGAACCCUGAGCCGCCAAAGUGGAAUGUGUGAACUUAACCGCUGGACCACCAAGCUGGCCCCAACUUAUUUUAUUUUUUGCAGUAUUUUUUAAUCGAAAUACGUUUGAUAUAUUGUGUAAUUUAAGGUGUACAAUAUGUUUUGACUACAUUUAUAUAUUGUAAUAUGACUGCCAUUGGAGCAAUAGUUAGCACUUCUAUCAUGUCACAUAAUUAUCUUUCUUUUCUCUGUGGUGGAAUAAAGAUCGAAUCUCUUAGCAAGUUUGAUUAUAAUGCAAUCUUGUCUAUAUUCACUAUACUGCACAUUAGAUCUCUGGGGCUUAUUUGUGUACUAGUUACAUGUUUGUACCUUUCAAACAUCUCUCCUAUUCCCUCACUCCCUAGUCCCUGGUAACUACCACUAUACUGUUUUUACAAGUUUGGCUUACAAGUGAGAUCAGACAGUGUAUGUCUUUCUCUGUCUCACUUACCUCACUUAGCAUAAUGUCCUCAAGAUCCAUCCAUGUUGUCUCAAGUAGCAGGAUUUCCUUAAUUUUUAUGGAUAAAUAAUAUUCCAUUGUGUGUGUGUGUGUGUCUGUGUGUGUGUAUCACAUCUUCUUUAUCCAUUCAUCUGUAAAUGGACAUUUAGGUUGUUUCCACAUCUUGGCUAUUGUGAGUAAUACUGCAAUAAACAUGAGUGGGCAGAUAUCUCUUUGAGAUCCUGACUUCAUUUCUUUUAUGUCUAUACCCAGAAGUGGAAUUGCUGGAUCAU